AUUGAACGCUGGCGGCAGGCCUAACACAUGCAAGUCGAGCGAGAGGCGGACGGGUGAGUAAUGUAUGGGGAACUGCCCGAUAGAGGGGGAUAACUACUGGAAACGGUGGCGAAUACCGCAUACUGCCGGAUGAACCCCUAUGGGAUUAGCUAGUAGGGAAGGGAAUGGCUUACCUAGGCGACGAUCCCUAGCUGGUCUGAGAGGAUGAUCAGCCACACUGGAACGGAGACAAGGCCCAGACUCCUACGGGAGGCAGCAGUGGGUAAUAUUGCACAAUGGGCGCAAGCCUGAUGCAGCCAUGCCGCGUGUAUGAAGAAGGCCUUCGGGUUGUAAAGUACUUUCAGUCGGGAGGCGUUACCCGCAGAAGAAGCACCGGCUAACUCCGUGCCAGCAGCCGCGGUAAUUC
rnacentral:rRNA from 1 species